AGAGUUUGAUCCUGGCUCAGAAUGAACGCUGGCGGCGUGCCUAACACAUGCAAGUCGAGCGCGAACGUGGACUUCGGUCCAUUAGUAGAGCGGCGAACGGGUGAGUAACACGUGGAUAACCUGCCUGGGAGUGGGGGACAACUUGGGGAAACUCGAGCUAAUACCGCAUACGUUCACAUCUCUUUGGAGGUGUGAAGAAAGGUGGCCUUCGGGCUGCCACUCCUAGAGGGGUCCGCGGCUGAUUAGCUAGUUGGUGAGGUAACGGCUCACCAAGGCGACNAUCAGUAGCCGGCCUGAGAGGGCGAUCGGCCACACUGGAACUGAGACACGGUCCAGACUCCUACGGGAGGCAGCAGUGGGGAAUAUUGNACAAUGGGCGAAAGCCUGAUCCAGCAACGCCNCGUGGAGGANGAAANCCUUCGGGUUGNAAACUCCUGUCNNNGGGGNGAAAAGGCUCCGGUUAAUACCCGGAGUCCAUGACGGUACCACC
rnacentral:rRNA from 1 species